rnacentral:tRNA from 1 species
GGGCCGGUAGUCUAGUUAGGUAGGACAUCUGCUUGACGUGCAGAAGGUCGCCGGUUCAAGUCCGGCCCGGCCCACCA